CUUGCUGGCUGUUUAAAGGUCAUAUCAAGUAAUACAAGCAGGAACAAAAAUUCCAGUUCUGACAUUUGAUGGCUUCAUAAAGAGGUUUAGUGAUCGCUACAAAACCAGGAAUCCAAAUUCUACAGAAGCUGGUCACCCCAAGAAACUCCCUCAGCUGUCUCUUAUCUUGUUCAUCUUCCCUCUUAGCCUGUUCCUUCUCUCUUGCUGACUCUCUAUUCACACAUACCUUUCCUAGCCAAUUGUAGCAACUGUGUUAUAUUCAUACCCUCCCAAGUUUCUUGCUUUUGAAUUUGCCUUCUAAUAUCCUGAGCUGACUGGGUCACAAAGUCAUAUUGAUUAACUGGUGGUUAUCAGGAACAGCAGGAUCAAAUGGUGUAUACAUUCUGUAAACUUUACAGAACUACUCAUAAAAUCUCUCAGGGCUCCCAUUGGGCUCCUACGAUGUUUCUAGCACUUUAAUCAUAUUUGUAGGCCUUUUACUCAUGGCUCGUAUCCCUGCCAGGAGGGCCAUCUGAUAAUUGCUUAAGCUGUCCUGGCCUCCUGGGGUGUUGGGGUUCCAAUCGGGCUGUUCAUUCACUGGAAAUUGCUGUUCAUGUCAAGCAUCUGGAUUUUGUGUGCCUGCUGGCAUUCUAGGAGCAUUGAUCUUUUUAAUUUCUCCUAAAACUGUAUUUCUUUAGAAGUUAACAAAGUUCUUUACAGUCCUCCCAAUUAGGACAAUGGGUAGCAAAGAUGGAAUCAAAUAAUUGAAGCAUUUUGGAGGGGUCUUGGCAGAGAAUAAAUGACCUUCUUUUUCUCUAGA
rnacentral:lncRNA from 1 species